UACGUAGGGGGCUAGCGUUGUCCGGAAUCAUUGGGCGUAAAGAGCGUGUAGGCGGCCCGGUAAGUCCGCUGUAAAAGUCAAAGGCUCAACCCUUUGAAUGUCAGUGGAUACUGCCGGGCUAGAGUCCGGAAGAGGCGAGUGGAACUCCUGGUGUAGCGGUGGAAUGCGCAGAUAUCAGGAAGAACACCGGUGGCGAAGGCGGCCAACUGGACCACAACGUGACGCUGGAGGCGCGAAAGCGUGGGGAGCAAACAGG
rnacentral:rRNA from 1 species